rnacentral:tRNA from 1 species
UGGGACGUCGCCAAGUGGUAAGGCACCAGGUUCUGGUCCUGGCAUUCGUAGGUUCGAAUCCUACCGUCCCAGCCA